rnacentral:lncRNA from 1 species
UGAUAAAAUUGACGACUCGUUUAGGGCAUCUUUAUUUAGUUGAUCGAAACUGAAUUUUGGGUUGAAAUAGAGUUCGGUAAAAAGUACUUCAUUCUUACUAUUUGCUUCCUAGUUAUAAAAGUAAAUUUUUUUUUUAAUUCUGCUGAUUGUCUGACAGAGUCUCAACCGUAUUUUUAUUAUGGUAAAACUAACAGCAAAGAUGAUCAUUUACGGACAAAAACGACUUCAUCCUUUUUUACUUUCAUCCAAAUAAACAUGUUUUUAUUCUAUUCAAGCGUCACUUUCUAAAUUUUCUAUCAAAAUAAUAAAUUAUUCACCGUUUUUCUAAAAUAGAGAAUAAUUUACCACUUUACUUGAACAUAAACUGUAAAUAAAUAUUUAAGGUGUCAAAGAGAAGGAAGUCACCGAUGGUCUCUGCAUGCAAGAUGCAUUGUUGUCCAUCAAUUCAUACGGAAAAUUCUACUUUAUAUAUAUCCAAAAAAAAAACAAAAAUAGAGAAAUCGUCCCUAGAGCAAAUAGUAAAGGGCUUGGUGGUUGGUACUCGAGACCCAAAUUUGAAUUCUAGUUGAUUCACAUUUUUAGCUAAGUUUAUUUUUAAAUAAACGAAACUGAUAGCGUGCAACCUAUUUCUAAAAAAAUAAUAAUAAUAAUAAAGAAACCGCUCUGUUUGGGGCCGGAUGGGCGCCGUGUGGCGCCUCGGCGCUCAUCGCCUCUACUGCUGCCCCUGAGGAGCAGUGGGAAUUUUUUGGUGCACCCGGUGCGCCAUAAUUUAUUUUUAAAAAUUGUAUUUUUAAAAUUUUUAAAAAUUAGUGAAAUAUAUAUUUAUGAGAUGGAAAAAUAUAUCUAANAUAUAUCCACAAUGUGUGAUAAAAUCUUUACAAACUCAUCAAAGAUUAAUGGAUGAUUAAUGAAUGCAUGAGCGAUAGAAGUUAAAAAAUAAAUAAAAAUUAACCGCAAUUAUCAGAAAAUAGGAAAAAUGGAAAAUGAACAAUCGUUACCAGAAACUAGGAAUUAGAAAAACGAGUGGGUUUUCUUAAAUAACUCGAUAAAAUUUUAUAAUUAGCAAAACAGUCCAAUAAAAAAUUUAUUUGGCUAAAUAAACCUUCUUUUGCCUAUCACAGUAAGAUAAAUAUAUCAAAAAGGGUGAAUCGUGAUCACUGAUAAUUAAUAGGGCCCCUAAUAAAUAUGAUAAAAUUGAUGACUCGUUUAGGGCAUGUUUAUUUAGUUCAUCGAAACUGAAUUUUGGGUUGAAAUAGAGUUCGGUAAAAAUUAUUCCUCUCUUACUAUUUGCUUCAUAGUUAUAAAAGUAAUUUUUUUUUAAUUCUGCUGAUUGUCUGACAGAAUCUCAAUCGUAUUUUUAUUAUGGUAAAACUAACAGCAAAGAUGAUCGUUCAUGGACGAAAACGACUUCAUCCUUUUUUACUUUCAUCCAAAUAAACAUGCUUUUAUUCUAUUCAAGCGUCACGUUUUAAAUUUUCUACCAAAACAAUAAAUUAUUCACCGUUUUUCUAAAACGGAGAAUAAUUUACCACUUUACUUGAACAUAAACUGUGAAUAAAUAUUUACAUGUCAAAGAGAAGGAAGUCACUUCCGUCUCUCGCAUGCAAGAUGUUCCUAGAGCAAAUAGUAAAGGGCUUGGUGGUUAGUACUCGAAACCCAAGUUUGAAUCCUAAUUGAUUCAUAUUUCCAGCUAAGUUUAUUUCUAAAUAAAAUAAACGAAGCGGGUAGUGUGCUACCUAUCUCUUAAAAAAUAAUAAUAAUAAUAAUAAAGAAACCGCCCCAUAUAAGUCUGUUUGGGGCCGGAUGGGGAUGGGCGCCGUGUGGCGCAUUGGCGCUCGUCGCCUCUACUGCUGCCCCUGAGGAGCGGUCGGAAUUUUUUGGUGCACCCGGUGCGCCAUAAUUUAUUUUAAAAAUUAUAUUUUUAAAAUUUUUAAAAAUUAGUGAAAUAUAUAUUUAUGAGAUGGAAUAAUAUAUCUAAAAAGAAUUAGAGCUUAAAAUUUAAAAUUUAGAAUAUAGAUUUUAGGACUUGGAAUUCUCGGAUUUAAAGUUUAGGUUUUAUAAUUUUUAAUAAAAUCAUAUUAAUUAUUAUAUUAUAUUAUAUUUUAAAAAAUUCAAAAAUAAAUUUUUUUAAAAAAUAAAGAUGCAUCAGGUGGACGGAAUAAUUACCCGCUGCUCUCACAACUGGAAGAGCCGGAGCCCAUUUUUGAUGGGCCCUGCAUGCCUCCCAUGCCAUAUAUUAUAAAUUUUUAUUAUUUAAAUUUCAGGCUAAUUUAUAUGUAGAAAGAUAAAUUUUAAUUAUUUAAAUUUUAAGCCAAUAUAAAUAUACAGAUAUCUAUAGUACUUGUAUACAUUUUAAUUUUUAAUUUUUUAAUAAGUUAUCUAUUAAUAAAAAUGACGAUCUAAUUUACUGUUCGAAAGUUUAAUUGCAUUCACAUCGUUAAUAAAUAAGCCGGACACGAACUAAAUUUUAAUUUCAGCUUAAUAUUUUGACGAGACAGAGCUGAUCCCAACCCACGUGAACUUGUAUAAAGAAUUAAGGAAACGAAAUACUUACUCAAAUCUACGGCGAGCCCCUCGGCUUUUUGGCUCCCGAGCGGCGUUUCCAUCGCCGAAGCGAUCGAUCAGAGUUAGUUGCUGAUUCGAUCUCUUCGUACUACAACGUUGUUCAGAAACACGUACACGCACUGUGAGAGAGAGAGAGAGAGAGAGAGAGAGAGAGAGAGAGAGAGUGAGUGAGUUAUGGGUUUUGAAGAGGAGUUAUGAAAUGGGAGAGAAGGCCACGUUGAGACGUUGAGUUGGUCAUAUAUAUAUAUAUACUAGUGCAGGUACUCGCACGUUGCAGCGAAUAGCUAUUGUUGUAGUAUAA